rnacentral:rRNA from 1 species
UACGGAGGGUGCAAGCGUUAUCCGGAUUCACUGGGUUUAAAGGGUGCGUAGGAGGGCAGGUAAGUCAGUGGUGAAAUCUCCAAGCUUAACUUGGAAACUGCCGUUGAUAUUAUCUGUCUUGAAUAUUGUGGAGGUGAGCGGAAUAUGUCAUGUAGCGGUGAAAUGCUUAGAUAUGACAUAGAACACCAAUUGCGAAGGCAGCUCACUACUCAAUCAUUGACUCUGAGGCACGAAAGCGUGGGGAUCAAACAGG